rnacentral:lncRNA from 1 species
GCUGGCCCCGCCCCGAAGUGCUGGGUUCCAUCCUGCCUGGCUGGGUGACCUCAGCCCACUGCCCCUGGCUGAACUCGAGAACAAAGAUCCUCUCUGUCCCGCCUACUUGCUUCUUAACCAUAUGAGUGAGAGGGCAAAUGAGAUCCCAUUUUGAACUCCCAGGAGAAAAGACAGCAGUAAUAGUAACAAUUAUCUGGAGGUUACAGCUGCCAGCAAACAGAAAACAGCUCACCUCUAAGGGCAACUGGAGGCCACUUCUAGGAGCUGGAGCAGUCUAUCCUCUUGGGCUCUGGGGGUGUGGGAGUGAGAGGGAAGGACAGAGAACACCAGGGGUUUUGCUGCAGAUGCAUUCACGUUCUUGGCUUCUCUAGGUGCAUGGGAACCCUGAGAAGGCCUUCCCGUGCCCCCCCAGUUUCUUGCUCUGAUCUGUGAAUCCUGGCUUCUCCAUUUGUGACGUGAUGAUUAAGGGCAAAAGUGGACUUGUCAGAAACAGGAAGGAAAGAUAAGAUAAAAAUAAAACAAAAUAAAAUAAAAAGUUAGCUAGACAUAACUUUCUCCCCUCCCCCCCGCUCCCCAACAGUCAUAUCCUUAAAACAAAAAUCCCACAGCAAAGCCCAGAAUGGGGGGUCAGACUUCGGGCUCCAGGUCAAGGCUGGAGAGCAGUGGGGGAAGUGAUUCAGCACCCUGCACCCGCCCAGAUGAAGGAGCAGAGUGCCAGGAGGCCCGGCCAGGACGCAGGGCUGUGGGUAGCGCGGCCCGCCUCAGCCUCAGCCCUGCACACUGCGCUCAGCCCUGCACACUGCGCUCAGCCCCCAUUCACCCCAAGAGCCAGCGAGCUGGGGAGCUGCAGCGUGAUUGAUGGGCCCCAGCUUGAAUGGAAAGUCCAGAUCCCAGGGAGACAGCUUAAGAGGUACGGAAAGACUGCAGUCAUUUGGAAAAUGGAAAUAUAGUCUCAGUUUCCAAAGGGGUUCGUCAUUUGGGUGAGCUUUAUGGAGAUCAGUCUUCAGGAUGUAUCUGAAUUAUCAUGCAUCUCUGUAUCGUUUGGGCUUGGGUUUGAGAGGAAUUGAGAGAGAAGAAAGCCAGUUCAGCUUGACCAAGAAGACAGACCAUCUUGAAAUUUUUGGUUCUAUGGGCAAAGUUCAAGUCUACCUGAUUUUCUGAAUGUUACAGUCAAAUGAACAAAUGUUAGAUAUUGUGCGUUUAUUUCUACUGGGCACUUCGCCAGGACCACCUAUCCAUCGUCUGAUGCAGUCCUUCAAAUAAUCCUAUGAAGAAGUUAUUAUUGUCCCCAGAAGAGGAACCUGAGGCUCAGAAGAGUUAAGUAACUUGCCUUGGGUGACAUACGCUGUGGAUGUGUCUUGAACCUAUGGCUGUCAGACUCCACAACUUUUAUUCUUAUUUACUACACUCUACCUGCUGUUUCCGAGAAAUAACUCUGUUCUCUGAGAUUGCUGGGGUCCAAACCAUCAUUAAUGAUGCAAACCUCAAGAGAGAAACAAGAAGGGCUCCUGCUAAACACACCAGUAGUGGUCUGUAAGACUCUGGUGUUCCCAUUGGCUUGAUCAAAAUGCAUCGUUUAUUACUGGGUCUUUUAUUUGUCUACUUUCGCAUGAAUAAAGUUUGUUAACUGUAUGAGGAUUGUUCUUAU